GCGGGAGUGGCCUAGUGGUUAAGGCGCUGCUUUCCCAGUACUAAUCGUCUGGUUCAAAGCAGAAAUCGCGAGUUCGAUCCUUGCCUCCCGCA